rnacentral:snoRNA from 1 species
GUAGUCUGUGAUGAUGAAGUUCCUACUUGGCCUGAACUGUUUUUGGAAUGUGAGGGCAACUUAAGUCACUACCUCUUCUGAGACAC